AUUGAACGCUGGCGGCAGGCCUAACACAUGCAAGUCGAGCGGAUGAGAGGAGCUUGCUCCUCGAUUCAGCGGCGGACGGGUGAGUAAUGCCUAGGAAUCUGCCUAGUAGUGGGGGACAACGUUUCGAAAGGAACGCUAAUACCGCAUACGUCCUACGGGAGAAAGUGGGGGAUCUUCGGACCUCACGCUAUUGGAUGAGCCUAGGUCGGAUUAGCUAGUUGGUAGGGUAAAGGCCUACCAAGGCGACGAUCCGUAACUGGUCUGAGAGGAUGAGCAGUCACACUGGAAAUGAGGCACGGUGGAGAGGCCCACGGGAGGCAGGAGUGGGGAAUAUUGGACAAUGGGCGCAAGCCUGAUCCAGCGAUGCCGCGUGUGUGAAGGAGGCCCUAGGGUCGUAAAGCACUUUAAGUUGGGAGGAAGGGCUUACAGCGAAUACCUGUGAGUUUUGACGUUACCGACAGAAUAAGCACCGGCAAACUCUGUGCCAGCCGCCGCUGAAA
rnacentral:rRNA from 1 species